CCAGACUCCUACGGGAGGCAGCAGUGGGGAAUAUUGCGCAAUGGGGGCAACCCUGACGCAGCAACGCCGCGUGAUUGAAGAAGGCCUUCGGGUUGUAAAGAUCUUUCAUCAGGGACGAAAAAUGACGGUACCUGACUAAGAAGCCCCGGCUAACUACGUGCCAGCAGCCGUGGUAAUACGUAGGGGGCAAGCGUUAUCCGGAUUUACUGGGUGUAAAGGGAGCGUAGACGGCAGGGCAAGUCUGGAGUGAAAGCCCGGGGCCCAACCCCGGGACUGCUUUGGAAACUGCCAUGCUAGAGUGCUGGAGAGGUAAGCGGAAUUCCUAGUGUAGCGGUGAAAUGCGUAGAUAUUAGGAGGAACACCAGUGGCGAAGGCGGCUUACUGGACAGUAACUGACGUUGAGGCUCGAAAGCGUGGGGAGCAAACAGGAUUAGAUACCCCAGUA
rnacentral:rRNA from 1 species